UAACUGACAUUAAAAUACUACCAGAGAUUCCUAAAAAUACCUGCCUUAGCGUUCAGUUCUCAGUUAAUCUUCUUAUUCUUAAGCAUGCUUUCUUCCCCCACUAGUCCUGACACUUUGAAGUCCCAAGAUUCACUUCAUGAGCUCCUUGGCUCCACCCUGCCCUUCCACCAGGAUGCUUCUGCCCUGGAGCCAGCCUCCAAUAAACUUAACCUCCAAGACUGUGGGCCAAAGCAAGUCUUUUGUUCCAGAAACAAGAAAACAACAAGAUUAAAACAACUUUCUCUGGAUUUAUGGAUUGCUGACUCCCUGUUUUAUCCUCUCUUGACAGAAAGAGAUUGAGAGAGGCCUCUGGGAUUCCUUUAAUAAGAGCACUAGUCCCAUUUAGGAUGACUCCUGCCUUAUAAUCUCAUUAUCUCCCAAAUGUCUUACUGCCCUAAGGCUAUCUGUCACAUGGUGAGUGAAACUUCCAGCAUGUGAAUUUUGGGGGGUACAAACAUUCAAUCUAUUGUAAUAACCAAAUUGUUGAUACUACAAUCAUACAUACAAGGUACUUUUGGGAGUAAUAAGCAAUGCCAAUUCGGUCAGCCCUGACAGUGAGUAUAAAUUAUGCUGCUCUUGAAACUGGGAUUUAAGAUCAUCCUAUAUAAGCUGCAGAUAUAUGCUUUCUUUUUCUUUGGUGCUUGGAAUUAUAUAAAGUAAGCAAUUUUAUCAAUCUCUAUUGAAGGCUAUUAAGCUGUGUCCAUCAUUUGCUAUGAAAAAAUGUGGUAAUGCUUUCAUAGUCCACACAUAUGUGUGAGUAAAUUUAUAAGAUAAUCUUGAAUGUACACAUAUUUUUAAUUUUGGUAGACAUUACUAGAUCACACUCUAAAGAGUUUUUAUCAAUACCUAUUCAUGUCGAUAUGCAUGAGAGUGCCUGUCUUCCAUGUAUUUGUCAAGAAUGUGCAAUAAAAUUUUGGGUCUUUGCCUAUCUGAUAGUUGGAAAAUGCUAUUUCAGCGUGGAGAUUAUUUGCAUUUCUCUCAUUUUAGUAUCUUGCCUAUGAUCUGUUUAUUCAUACACCUACCUAUUUUUUUCCUAUUGGGUGAAUAGCUUAGCUUUGAUUUGUUUGAGCCUUUAUUAUACUUUUUUUGUGGUACUUGUUGGAAACAUAUUUUCCAGCUCUGUUAUCUUUGUACUUUGCUGAUGAUAAUUUUUGUUAUGCAGAAAUUUUUACUUGCUUUUAAUUGUAUUUACUUGUUCUAUUAUGCUUUUAGGUUUCACGUCAUACUUAGAAAGUCUCACAGGGCCAGGGAUAUAGCUCAGUAGCACAGCGCCUGCCUGUAACACAAGGUCCUGAGUUUGAUUCCCAGUACCAAAAGAAAAAAGUGUCACAUAUUCUAAGAUCUCAUUUUCUAAAAACUCACCACAGUUUCUUCUUUAAUUUUAGUAUUUCUGACAUUUUAAAAUUGAUUCAUUCAAAAUAUGUUGUGUGUAAAGGUGCUACAGAUGGGAUAAAUGUGUUUUCUAGGUGACUACUGGCUUUUCAAACAUUUAUAAAUCCAUCUUUCCCCUACAAUUGAUAAUGCCACUUUGUCAUGAACUAAAUUUUGGCAAGUAUUUAGGUCUAAUUCUAAGGUUUCUAUCCUGGAGUCAUACAGAUUAUAGGCCCUUGAUCUUGCUGUUUAAUCAUGUGCAGGUAGAAAUUGUUUUAAUUAUUAUAGCUUUGUGAUAUGUUUUAUACAUCUAACACAUUGAGCUCUUCCUUUUAUAUCAAUCUCUCUUCCAGAAUUGUCCUAAUGUUUUUGCAUGUUUAGUUUAUAUGUAAACUUUGGAAUCAGCUUGCCCAAUUGAAACAAUCCUGUAACCAUUUUAACAAGAUCAUGGGUAUUGUAUAAAUUGUAGUUGGGAAACUUGGUGUUCUUAUUAUAACGUGUGUUUCUACCCAAGAACAUGGUAUGCCAAUCUAAAUCUUCUUUGGUCCUUUUUCUAAAUGUUUUAAAUUUUUGUUCAAAUAAAUUCUGCAAAUUUUGUUA